UGGGGGAUAUUGCACAAUGGGCGAAAGCCUGAUGCAGCGACGCCGCGUGGGGGAUGAAGGCCUUCGGGUUGUAAACUUCUUUUGCUCUGAACAAGGCAUGCUAAUGGGUGUGUUGAGUGUAGGGGUUGAUUAGCGCCGGCUAACUACGUGCCAGCAGCCGCGGUAAUACGUAGGGCGCGAUCGUUGUCCGGAAUUAUUGGGCGUAAAGGGCUUGGAGGUGGCUGGUUGCGUCUGUCGUGAAAGCUCAUGGCUUAACUGUGGGUUUGCGGUGGGUACGGGCUGGCUUGAGUGCAGUAGGGGAGGCUGGAAUUCCUGGUGUAGCGGUGGAAUGCGCAGAUAUCAGGAGGAAUACCGGUGGCGAAGGCGGGUCUCUGGGCUGUUACUGACACUGAGGAGCGAAAGCAUGGGGAGCGAACAGG
rnacentral:rRNA from 1 species